rnacentral:rRNA from 1 species
GUGCAGCAGUCGCGAAACUUCACACUGUGCGAAAGCACGAUGAGGGAAUCCCAAGUGCUUGCACGUAAGUGUAAGCUGUUUCUCUGUUUAAAACGCAGAGAGAGUAAGGGCUGGGUAAGACGGGUGCCAGCCGCCGCGGUAAUACCUGCAGCUCAAGUGGUGACCGUUAUUAUUGGGCCUAAAACGUCCGUAGCCGGUUUAAUAAAUGCCUGGGUAAAUCGUGUAGCUUAACUAUACGAAUUCCGGGUAGACUGUUAAACUCGAGACCGGGAGAAGUUAGAGGUACUCCUGGGGUAGAGGUGAAAUUCUGUAAUCCUAGGGGGACCACCAGUGGCGAAGGCGUCUAACUAGAACGGGUCUGAUGGUGAGGGACGAAGCCCUGGGGCGCAAACGGGAUUAGAUACCGCGUAGU